GGGGAUAUAGCUCAGUUAGUAGAGUGCUUGCCUCACACGCACUAGGCCCUGGGUUCAAUCCCCAGUACCACA
rnacentral:tRNA from 1 species